CAAAAUUCCUGCCUUAUCCUAUUUCCCUAUCACAGCCUAAAGUUAGAUUCUUGCCUUAUCUUGCCCUAAAGUCAGAUUCUUGCCAGAGCUUACUUCCGUGUACUAGGCCAAUGUCAGAGUCCUCUCUGAGGCCCACUUCUUUGUCCUUAGCCAAUGUCAGACUCCUGCCAAGCGGUACCCCAAAAGGCUUUCCACAGCGGAUCUCAGCAGGAAGGUGAGCUCAACUUGUGGUAACACUGCCAUUGAAAGAAACUCAUC
rnacentral:lncRNA from 1 species